rnacentral:SRP_RNA from 1 species
GCCGGGCGCGGUGGCUCACGCCUGUAAUCCCAACACUUUGGGAGGCUGAGGUGGGAGGAUCACCUGAGGUCAGGAGUUUGAGACCAGCCUGGCCAACAUGGUGAAACCCCAUCUUUA